GCUGGGUGUGCUGGCACCCGCCUGUAGUCCCAGCUACUUAGGAGGCUGAGGUGGGAGGAUCACUCAAGCCCAGGAGUUCAAGGUUGUAAUGAGCUGUGAUUGCUCAUUACAACCACUGCACUCCAGCCUGAGCAACAGAGUGAGACCCUGUCUCUU
rfam:Pan troglodytes isolate Yerkes chimp pedigree #C0471 (Clint) chromosome 7, whole genome shotgun sequence.